UACGUAGGGUGCAAGCGUUGUCCGGAAUUAUUGGGCGUAAAGAGCUCGUAGGCGGUGUGUCGCGUCGGCCGUGAAAACCUGCAGCUUAACUGUGGGCGUGCGGUCGAUACGGGCAUCACUGGAGUUCGGCAGGGGAGACUGGAAUUCCUGGUGUAGCGGUGAAAUGCGUAGAUAUCUGGAGGAACACCGGUGGCGAAGGCGGCAUCCUGGACCCGGUAUUGACGCUGAGGCGCGAAAGCGUGGGGAGCAAACAG
rnacentral:rRNA from 1 species